rnacentral:lncRNA from 1 species
AACUUUUAAAAUGUAUCACAUAAAAUAAGAAGGGGAGUAAUCAUUAGCGUAUUUUAGCAAAACCCCACCAGACAUGAGCGUAUUUUAGCACACUCCCUACCACCUAUUUUUACCCUCCUCCUCCUUCCCUCUGCUUCUUCUUCUUCUGAUGAACACAGAGCAAAACACUGCAAACACAACAACAGCCCCACGAAAAAUAACCAUUCCUUUUUGCCCACUAAAACACACAAUACACACAGUGAGUAAACUCUAAAACACCAAAAGAUUCACUUUUUACAGCCCCAAGAACCAAGAAUCCAAGAACACUCAUCAAAGCUCUGAUCUUUAACUCCUUUCAAUUCUUAACAUUCAUAUCUUUUUCCCAUUUUCUUGUUUUUUUGUAAAAAAUGGAGAAAAUUGUAGUUGUUGUUAGCUGUGAACUUAAAGCUUGUGGUAUAGUGUAGUUUUCUCCAAAGGGUUGUCUUCUCCAUUUUUGGCUUUAAAAAAAUCUCCCUUUUUUUUCACUUUAACUUUUUUCAACCCAUAGAAUGGGUUGCAGGGAUAUGAUAGUACAAAAUUUGGAUCCUGUGAGAAAAAGAAGUGGUGGAUUAAGAACUAAACAAGCUGGGCGGGGCUCUUGCAGAGGAAGUUAGUUCCUUUAAUCUAUAUUUUUAGCUGAAAAAAACAAGAAAAGGAAAGAGAAAACACAGAAAGUGUUUUUUCUCUCUGUUUGAGAUAUUCACAAACAAAAAUUAGUGCAAAUGGGGUAUUUGUUGAAAGAGGUUUUGAAGACACUUUGUGGAGUGAACCAAUGGUCUUAUGCUGUUUUUUGGAAGAUCGGUUGCCAGAAUACUAAGUGAGUUUUCUUAUUUCAAUGAAUCAAAUUCUCUUUUUUUUCAUGUGGGUUUAGUUUUUUUUUCUUUUUUCAAAAGUAAAAAAUUAAAUUGAAUGUAGAAAAAUGUAAUAUUGGCUUGUGUUUUGUUUAAGUGAAAUUUUUUCCAUGGUAGUGAAAAAAAAAAUGAUCUUGGCUUGUGGGUUGAUUUCAUUUCUUUUUUGUGGCAUUUUUGUUAGUUUUUUCAUGCGGCUUUAGCUUUUUUAUUUUUUCUUUUGAUUUUCUUUCUCAAAAGAAAAAUUAGAAGCUGAAAAAAAUGUAAUCUUGGCUUUGUGGGUUGAGUUCAGAUUUAAUGUAAAUUCUUCUUUUUAUCUUUUUUCAAGUUGGGUAAGCCUUUUUUUUAAAUUAUUUUUUUUCUUUUUAAAAACGGGGGAAGAAAAUGAAAGUAGAACAAGGAAAUCCUCCUGCUCAAAAAUAAAAAAAUAAUAAUCUUGGCUUGUGAGUUGAGUUCAGAUUUAUGUGAUUAUUCUUUUUUGUUGGGUAAAUGGAGAAAAAUGUAUUUGCCUUUUUGUUUAUUUUGUAGAAUUUCUUUUUCAUCUUUUCGUUUUUCUUGUUGUUUUGGAUUUUGUACUGACAAUUGUUUUCACUUUGCUGAGAAAAUGGAGGGCAAAUGAAAGUAAGAAACUGAAAAAGUGUAAAGUCUGAUGGUCCUUUUGUUGUUCAGCACUUCAGCUGCUGGAAAACUGUAAACUGAGUUUCACUGAUUCUAUUGUGCUCAGUUCCUUUCUUUGACCAAGCAAACUUAGAGCUUUGUAAUGUGUAGCAUAAUACUGUGCUACACAUUAUUGUUUAUUAUGGUAUUACUUUACAUGCUAUGGAUUUACAGAAUAUUGUUUCAUUUUCUGCUUUUGGCUUUGUAAUCUGGAAAAUGUCAUUUUCUGCUUUUGGAAUGUUGUGGUUGUUUUAGUCCAUUUUGUCUUGAAGAAUCUUUGUGGAAUGAAAAAAAAUGAAAGUGAUUUGUUUUAAUUUGCUGAAACCCUUAUGAUUUCCUGUAUGCAAGCAUACUCUUUAUUUUAUAUACACACUUCUCCAAUAGUCUUGCAAAUAGGAACACAGAACUGUCACUUUCUUUUUAAUGACACUGAAUUUUGGCUUAUCUGCUGGUAUUUUGUUAACCCCUUCACUAAAGUUUUUUCAAGUGAUUCUUUAACAAUUUUUUCUUUUACUUAUUGACAGGCUUUUAAUUUGGGAAGAAUCCUAUUAUCAACCCUUAACAUUCUCUGGAAUUCUUGGAAUAUCUGAAAUUGAGAAUACUGAACUAUCAUUCCAAGAUUGGGGUGUUUGUAAUUCUCAGCUUAUGAAUCAGGCAGGGGAGAGAGUGCAUUUACUCGUAAACAAAAUGAUGACGGAAAGUCAAUUCAAUCUAGUAGGAGAAGGGUAUAAUUUCUUAAUUCAGUUUAUUGAUUCUAUCUUUUUAAAAAUGAGUAUCAGCAAAGAGUUCGUUUACUCGUACCAUGUCGUUGAUAUUCAUAAUUUUUCUUCUCAGACUAGUCGGUCGGGCUGCAGUUACUGGGAAUCAUCAGUGGUUUCAUUCAGAUGGUUUUAGUAGAGUAGCUCAUCCACCAGAGGUACAUAUUGAGAUAAUUCCUAGCUUGCUGUGGUUAAGUUUUCUCCCAAGAAAGAGAUAUGUGGCCUGUAUUACAUAUUAUACAUGAUCUGUACUUUCUCCAUUGCAAUUAGUAUUUGAAUAGCUGUCCCUUGCCCAUAAUAACUUGUGUGGUAAAAAGUUAAUAUUUCACAAUUCAACUUAAUUCUGUCAAAGUUAGAUACAACGCUUUUUUUUUGGUUUUUUUUCUGUAAGGUUAACGACAAACUUAAACUAGGUUAUCUUUUUUAUGCAACGAUGUAAUGUAAUUUGUGUCUCAUUGCAUCUUCUGGAUGCAUUAACUGAUACUUACUGGUGUAUCCAUACGAUGUGGUUCUUUUAGGUACUGAAAGAGCUGACUCAACAAUUUAAUGCUGGCAUCAAGGUACAAUCUGUUUGAAUUAACGCAAAUGCUGUGUGUGUUUCUUUUGCGGCUCACUGAUUCUUUUUGUUUACUGAUAUGCAGACAAUUGCAGUUGUUCCUAUUCUUCCUCAUGGUGUUGUCCAAUUUGGAUCAUGCUCACAUGUAAGUUCUUCAUUUUUCUUUCCCAUUUUAAAAUCUUACUUGGUGAAAAAUAGUCUUGGGCACUAAGGUACUCGAAUUAUAUCUACCAUCAUUGCGUACAAUAAUUUGUUCUCAAGCUAGAUCCCUUAGUUGUUGCCUUAAAAGAGAACUUAUGUUGAUGAAUCGGGGAAUGAAUAGAAGAAUAGGGGAUUCGUAUUGCGGAUCCAACUAGUUUGGGAUUUAGGCUAACUGAUUGAUUAAACUUUUGUUUUUCAAUUUUACUAUCAUAAAUUAUGUAAAGUAAAAUGGUCAUUUUUGCUGCCUCAGAUAAUGGAGAAUAUGGGUUUUGUGGAGGACGCGAGGAUGCUGAUAAGUCAACUAGGAUGUGUUCCUGGUGUCUUGUUAUCCGAUGAAAAUGCAAUGAAAGAUCCUGCAGUUAACACUGCACCAGUUUCUCUAGAUUCUUAUGGGAGAGCCAAAUCGAUGAACUCCACUCCAAUUAUUGCUAGCUGCAGUUAUCAGAGUAACUCAAGUCAGACUGACAGUUUCGUUGGUCAAACUUCCUCUCUGGCUUCACAAGUUCAGAAUAGAAUCCUGUCUACUGAUGCAACAUUUCGAGCCCCCAAUAUGUCCCAAAGUUUUGUUGAUUCUCAUGAUCGUCAGUUUCACAAAAUUGUUCCAGAGGUGAAAGCAAACCUGUCUCCUAAUUGCCACCUAAUAAAUAAUGUGAUUAAAGCAGAGGUAAUUUCUCCAGACUCCAACAUAUGGACGAGUCAACAAGCUUCUUUGCACAUUCUGAGGCCUCCCUUUCAUCAGCAUUCUAUUGAUUCAUUAACUGUAGAUAGUGGCAGCUUAAGGUUGUUUGAACAGGGGAUCACUUCAAAUGCUGGUAGCCAUGAUUUUGGCAAAAUCAACUCUUGCACAA